rnacentral:rRNA from 1 species
UAGAGUUUGAUCAUGGCUCAGGACGAACCCUUGCGGUGUGCUUAACACAUGCAAGUCGUGCGACGAACCAGACUUCGGUCUGGGGCAAAGCGGCGAACGGGUGAGUAACACGUGGGUAAUCUGCCCCGAUGACUGGGACAACCCGAGGAAACUCGGGCUAAUACCGGAUGUGGUGCCUGGACUCAAGUCCGGUCACUAAAGGUAGCUUCGGCUUCCGCAUUGGGAGGGGCCCGCGGCCCAUUAGCUUGUUGGUGGGGUCAAGGCCUACCAAGGCAACGAUGGGUAGCUGGUCAGAGAGGACGAUCAGCCACACUGGGACUGAGACACGGCCCAGACUCCUACGGGAGGCAGCAGUGGGGAAUCUUGCGCAAUGCGCGAAAGCGUGACGCAGCAACACCGCGUGAGGGAAGACGGCCUUAGGGUUGUAAACCUCUUUCAGAUGGGACGAAGGUGAUGCGGUGAAUAGCCGAUGUCAUUGACGGUACCGUCAGAAGAAGCUCCGGCUAACUACGUGCCAGCAGCCGCGGUAAUA